rnacentral:rRNA from 1 species
CAGCAGCCGCGGUAAUACGUAGGUGGCAAGCGUUGUCCGGAAUUAUUGGGCGUAAAGGGCUCGCAGGCGGUUUCUUAAGUCUGUUGUGAAAUCCCCGGGCUCAACCUGGGAAUGGCAGUGGAUACUGGCUCGCUAGAGUGUGUCAGAGGAUGGUGGAAUUCCCGGUGUAGCGGUGAAAUGCGUAGAGAUCGGGAGGAACAUCAGUGGCGAAGGCGGCCAUCUGGGACAACACUGACGCUGAGGCACGAAAGCGUGGGGAGCAAACAGGAUUAGAUACCCCUGUAGUCCCUGUCUCUUAUAC